rnacentral:rRNA from 1 species
GAGUCUGCCUUGAAGAUCGGAGUGCUUGCACUCUGUGAAACAAGAUACAGGCUAGCGGCGGACGGGUGAGUAACACGUGGGUAACCUGCCCAAGAGAUCGGGAUAACACCUGGAAACAGAUGCUAAUACCGGAUAACAACAGAUGAUGCCUAUCAACUGUUUAAAAGAUGGUUCUGCUAUCACUCUUGGAUGGACCUGCGGUGCAUUAGCUAGUUGGUAGGGUAACGGCCUACCAAGGCGAUGAUGCAUAGCCGAGUUGAGAGACUGAUCGGCCACAUUGGGACUGAGACACGGCCCAAACUCCUACGGGAGGCAGCAGUAGGGAAUCUUCCACAAUGGACGCAAGUCUGAUGGAGCAACGCCGCGUGAGUGAAGAAGGGUUUCGGCUCGUAAAGCUCUGUUGUUGGUGAAGAAGGACGGGGGUAGUAACUGACCUUUGUUUGACGGUAAUCAAUUAGAAAGUCACGGCUAACUACGUGCCAGCAGCCGCGGUAAUACGUAGGUGGCAAGCGUUGUCCGGAUUUAUUGGGCGUAAAGCGAGUGCAGGCGGUUCGAUAAGUCUGAUGUGAAAGCCUUCGGCUCAACCGGAGAAUUGCAUCAGAAACUGUCGAGCUUGAGUACAGAAGAGNNNNGUGGAACUC